GGAAGAGGCAUGGGCUAUUCAGGGCUCAUGGAGGCAGAGGAGAGGCAUGCUCACUCCUAUCAUCCGCAGCCAGGACCAGAAUCCCAACCAAGCCACCGGCCUGGACACAAAGGUAAGCUAACAGGAAGGUGGCUGCAAAUAUAUAAUGUGUGAUGUGUGUGUCAGUUUGUGUGUAUCUGAGUUUUUGUCAAUGUAUGUAUCUGUGUGUCAGUGUGUAUCUGGCUGUAUGUGUCAGUGGGUGUAUCUAAGUGUAUGGCACAGUAGCUCGUAAAACCACCUCCCUGAAAAGCAUUUUUGCAUGUUGGGAUGUCUAAAGAUAAAAAACACUAGUGCUCGCAUACAUUAAUGUUCAUGAAGAAAAGCAGAUGGGCAGAUUUUAUAGUGAUCAAAAGGCUUUAUUUAGCAUAUCUAUCAAGUACCCAUUUUAUGGACAGUGUCUCUUUAGGAUCCAAAUCUUUCACUUCCUCAUUUCCCAGGAAUCUAAAGUUCAGUGUAAACCAAGCAUGUGAAACUCAAAGAGUAACACGGGCCAAGUAAAGUUUAAUAUGUUAAAAGUAUGGAGCUUAGAAGGAAGGUUAACAAGAAUACCAACCACCUAAAAAUCCCAAAAGUGGAG